UAGUCCACGCCGUAAACGAUGAUUACUCGAUGUUGGCAAUACACCGUCAGCGUCCAAGCGAAAGCGCUAAGUACUCCGCCUGGGGAGUACGCACGCAAGUGUGAAACUCAAAGGAAUUGACGGGGACCCGCACAAGCAGCGGAGCAUGUGGUUUAAUUCGAAGCAACGCGAAGAACCUUACCAAAUCUUGACAUCCUGAUGACCGGAUCUUAAUCGAUCCUUUUCUUCGGAACAUCAGAGACAGGUGGUGCAUGGUUGUCGUCAGCUCGUGUCGUGAGAUGUUGGGUUAAGUCCCGCAACGAGCGCAACCCUUGUCUUUAGUUGCCAUCAGGUCAAGCUGGGCACUCUAGAGAGACUGCCGUGGAUAACACGGAGGAAGGUGGGGAUGACGUCAAAUCAUCAUGCCCCUUAUGGUUUGGGCUACACACGUGCUACAAUGGUCGGUACAACGGGCAGCGAAAGAGUGAUCUGGAGCGAAUCCUAAAAAGCCGAUCU
rnacentral:rRNA from 1 species